GACGAACGCUGGCGGCGUGCUUAACACAUGCAAGUCGAACGCUGAAGCUCAGCUUUUGUUGGGUGGAUGAGUGGCGAACGGGUGAGUAACACGUGAGUAACCUGCCCCCUUCUUUGGGAUAACGCCCGGAAACGGGUGCUAAUACUGGAUAUUCACUGGUCUUCGCAUGGGGGUUGGUGGAAAGGGUUUUUCUGGUGGGGGAUGGGCUCGCGGCCUAUCAGCUUGUUGGUGGGGUGAUGGCCUACCAAGGCUUUGACGGGUAGCCGGCCUGAGAGGGUGACCGGUCACAUUGGGACUGAGAUACGGCCCAGACUCCUACGGGAGGCAGCAGUGGGGAAUAUUGCACAAUGGGCGCAAGCCUGAUGCAGCGACGCCGCGUGAGGGAUGGAGGCCUUCGGGUUGUGAACCUCUUUCGCUCAUGGUCAAGCCACAACAAUGGUUGUGGUGAGGGUAGUGGGUAAAGAAGCGCCGGCUAACUACGUG
rnacentral:rRNA from 1 species